rnacentral:rRNA from 1 species
ACGGAAGGCAGCAGUAGGGAAUAUUGCACAAUGGGGGGAACCCUGAUGCAGCAACGCCACGUGUGGGAAGAAGCAUUUCGGUGUGUAAACCACUGUCGUGAGGGACUAAUGCUUGAUUUCGGUCAAGUUGAAUGCACCUCGAAAGGAAGCACCGGCACACUUCGUGCCAGCAGCCGCGGUAAUACGAGGGGUGCAAGCGUUGUUCGGAAUCACUGGGCGUAAAGGGAGCGUAGGCGGAGACGCAAGCAGUCUGUACAAUACCGGGGCCCAACACCGGACCUGCAGUCUGGACUGUGUCUCUUGGAUAGUUCAGGGGCAGGCGGAAUUCCUGGUGUAGCGGUGGAAUGCGUAGAGAUCAGGAAGAACACCGAUGGCGAAGGCAGCCUGCUGGGGACUCAUCGACGCUGAGGCACGAAAGCGUGGGGAGCAAACAGGAUUAGAUACCCUGGUA